UUGAGUUAAAGUGCCAAACUUUCCCUCAUAAGAUUCCAUGAAAGGCGUUUAAUUGAUAUGGAUAACACGAUAAAUGUGGUCAAGGAAGUUGGAACCAUUAAGGAAUGUGCUGAAACUCAUCUGUUAAAUAAAGCAGUAGAUGAUACUUAGGUGAGCGAUUUAUAUUCAG
rnacentral:ncRNA from 1 species